GUCAUGGUGAGUUGAAUGUAUGCUUUGUGUGUAAUUCUGAUAUGAGCAGCCUCAUGCGAAUAUGGGUCUUAUGUCGUAUGCAGCCUGCGUAGCUCUAAUCCAGCAUGCCCAUCUAUGAGGUCUGUUCAGGAGCUACAUGUCUUCUAUGAGGUUUGUUCAGGAGCUACAUGUCUUCUAUGAGGUCUGUUCAGGAGCUACAUGUCUUCUAUGAGGUCUGUUCAGGAGCUACAUGUCUUCUAUGAGGUCUGUUCAGGAGCUACAUGUCUUCUAUGAGGUCUGUUCAGGAGCUACAUGUCUUCUAUGAGGUCUGUUCAGGAGCUACAUGUCUUCUAUGAGGUCUGUUCAGGAGCUACAUGUCUUCUAUGAGGUCUGUUCAGGAGCUACAUGUCUUCUAUGAGGUCUGUUCAGGAGCUACAUGUCUUCUAUGAGGUCUGUUCAGGAGCUACAUGUCUUCUAUGAGGUCUGUUCAGGAGCUACAUGUCUUCUAUGAGGUCUGUUCAGGAGCUACAUGUCUUCUAUAAGGUUUGUUCAGGAGCUUCAUGUCUUCUAUGAGACCAUGAAACCCAUGGGUGACUUUAUGGCAGACAGGGUAGCACCUUAGCAGACUGCGCUAUUGUGCAGGCUGGUCUGGAGCUAUGCUGGCUCCAUAUGUCAGAAGACCCAUUUUCGCAUAACACAGCUCAAAUAGUUAUGAAAGGAGGAAUUGAUUACAACUUAUUUAUUUGAUACAUUUUAACUGUAAGGUACAUGUUCCUUAACGCCAUAUUUUCUUCUAUCUUUUUUUUAAAUGAAGUGGACUUGUUUUAGUAUCUUUAUUCCCUGUACAUAGAUUGGUCUUAGUAAACAUUGUGCUGUGAUUUAUUAUAUCAUUAAAAGUUUUCAACAGACAAUUACUCAAGUACAAAUAACCUAAAACUUGUUAUAGCUGUAUUGCCUGUUAAUGUUUAAAUAUGAAAGUAUGUUGUUAUA